rnacentral:rRNA from 1 species
GAUCAACGCUGGCGGCGUGCCUAACACAUGCAAGUCGAACGCGAGAGGGGCUUCGGCCCCGAUUGAGUGGCGAACGGGUGAGUAACGCGUGGGUGACCUACCUUCGAGUGGGGGAUAACGUCCCGAAAGGGACGCUAAUACCGCAUAACAUCCUGCUUUUGAAUGGGUGGAGAUCAAAGCCGGGGAUCGCAAGACCUGGCGCUUGAUGAGGGGCCCGCGUCUGAUUAGCUAGUUGGNGAGGU